rnacentral:rRNA from 3 species
ACGGGGUGCAGCAGGCGCGAAACCUUUGCAAUGUGCGAAAGCACGACAAGGUUAAUCCGAGUGUCUCCCGCUAAGGGAGUCUUUUGUCAGUUCUAGAACCACUGGUGAAUAAGGGGUGGGCAAGUUCUGGUGUCAGCCGCCGCGGUAAAACCAGCACCUCGAGUGGUCAGGAGGUUUAUUGGGCCUAAAGCAUCCGUAGCCGGUUGCAUAAGUUUUCGGUUAAAUCUAUGCGCUUAACGUAUAGGCCGCCGAAAAUACUGUGCAGCUAGGGAGUGGGAGAGGUACACGGUACUCGAUAGGAAGGGGUAAAAUCCUUUGAUCUAUUGAUGACCACCUGUGGCGAAGGCGGUGUACCAGAACACGUUCGACGGUGAGGGAUGAAAGCUGGGGGAGCAAACCGGAUUAGAUACCCGGGUAGUCCCAGCUGUAAACGAUGCAGACUCGGUGAUGCAUUGGCUUGUGGCCAAUGCAGUGCCGCAGGGAAGCCGUUAAGUCUGCCGCCUGGGAAGUACGUACGCAAGUAUGAAACUUAAAGGAAUUGGCGGGGGAGCAC